rnacentral:pre_miRNA from 1 species
AGACACCCUUCUGGGGCAAGACUUGCUUCAGUGGGGCUUUGGUGCUCACUGAGUCUGCCCCCUGAGUGGGUCCCU